CCGGGCGUCCAACUAUCUGAUUUGUCUGAGACUGAGGGGUUUCCUGGGACUCAGAAGUAGAAGAGUUCUAGGCAAAUCAGGAAAAGUUGAUCACCCUAAAUGUAC
rnacentral:miRNA from 1 species